GACGAACGCUGGCGGCGUGCCUAAUACAUGCAAGUCGAACGCAGUGGGGACGGGUGAGUAACACGUGGGUAACCUCCCCAUCAGAGGGGAUAACAGUUGGCAACAGGUGCUAAAACGAUACUGAUUGCUGGACUCGAGGUGCAUGAGCUAGUUGGUGAGGUAACGGCUCACCAAGGCCACGAUGCAUAGCCGACCUGAGAGGGUGAUCGGCCACACUGGGACUGAGACACGGCCCAGACUCCGACGGGAGGCAGCAGUAGGGAAUCGGCGACAAUGGACGAAAGUCUGACCGAGCAACGCCGCGUGAGUGAAGAAGGUUUUCGGAUCGUAAAACUCUUUUGUUAGAGAAGCGGUAUCUAACCAGAAAGCCACGGCUAACUACGUGCCAGCAGCCGCGGUAAUUC
rnacentral:rRNA from 1 species